AAUCAACGCUGGCGGCGUGCCUAACACAUGCAAGUCGAACGAGAAAGUGGAGCAAUCCAUGAGUACAGUGGCGUACGGGUGAGUAACACGUGACUACCUACCCUCGAGUGGGGAAUAACCUCGGGAAACCGGGGCUAAUACCGCAUAACAUCUACGGAUCAAAUGCGUAAGCAGCUUGGGGGAGGGGGUCGCGGCCGAUUAGCUAGUUGGUGAGGUAAUGGCCCACCAAGGCAAUGANCGGUAGCCGGCCUGAGAGGGCGCACGGCCACACUGGAACUGAAACACGGUCCAGACUCCUACGGGAGGCAGCAGUGGGGAAUUUUG
rnacentral:rRNA from 1 species